rnacentral:lncRNA from 1 species
GUCAAAUAAGUUAAGGAUUAUGUAUUGUAGUGGGAGUUUGUAUUAUACAAUUAUGUAUUGUCCAUUACAUUCAGUAAUUCAGUUAUAUCUGCGCAGAUAUGCAGCUUUAAAGUUUUUGUACUCUUACAGUUUAUGAUUGAUCUUAAUAAAGAGAACCAGUUGGAAAUAGACAUUCUAUUGACCACACUUUAUGUUAUUUCCAUGCUACACACCUACACUUGAUCCA